UUUACUGCGAAACUGUGAAUGGCUCAUUAUAACAGUUAUUAUUUACUAGCCGGUCAGUUAUUCCUUGGAUACCCAUGGUAAUUCUAGAGCUAAUACAUGCUUACAGACCCAACUUCACGGAAGGGUUGCGCUUAUUAGAUACCGAACCAACCCCGCAAGGGAUUUAGUUGAUUCAUAGUGUUCUGGCGAAUCGACUUUUAGUCGAUGAGGCUAUCAAGUUUCUGACCUAUCAGCUUCCGACGGUAGGGUAUUGGCCUACCGUGGCUUUGACGGGUAACGGAGAAUUAGGGUUCGAUUCCGGAGAGGGAGCCUGAGAAACGGCUACCACAUCUAAGGAAGGCAGCAGGCGCGCAAAUUACCCAAUCCUGAUACAGGGAGGUAGUGACAAUAAAUAACAAUACCGGGCCUUUGGUCUGGUAAUUGGAAUGAGUACAACCUAAACACCUUAACGAGGAUCAAUU
rnacentral:rRNA from 1 species